CCUGGUUGAUCCUGCCAGUAGCGUAUGCUUGUCUCAAAGAUUAAGCCAUGCACGUGUGAGUACACAUGGCCGGUACAGUGAAACUGCGAAUGGCUCAUUAAAUCAGUUAUGGUUCCUUUGAUCGCUCCAUCUGUUACUUGGAUAACUGUGGUAAUUCUAGAGCUAAUACAUGGCGAUGAGCGCGGACCUCACCGGAUGCGUGCAUUUAUCAGACCAAGACCAAUCCGGGGCUGAUUGCAUGUCCCCGUGACGGCGACAAUGCAUUCGGAUCAUCUGCCCUAUCAACUUUUGAUGGUACUCUGUGGCUACCAUGGUGACCAUGGGUAUUGGGGAAUCAGGGUUUGAUUCCGGAGAGGAGCCUGAGAAACGGCUACCACAUCCAAGGAAGGCAGCAGGCAUGCAAAUUACCCACUCUCGACUCUGGGAAUGUAGUGAUGAAAAAUAAUACAGGACUCUUUUCAGGCAAUGUAAUUGGAAUGUGUACACUUUAAAUCCUUUAACGAGUACCCAUUGGAGGGCAAGUCUGGUGCCAGCAGCUGCAGUAAUUCCAGCUCCUAUAGCGUAUAUUAAAGUUGCUGCAGUUAAAAAGCUUGUAGUUGGUUCUUGGUAUCGAGCUGGCGGUCCGCUGCGGGCGAGCUACCGCCUGUCCCAGGCCCUGCCUCUCGGCGCCCCCUUGAUGCUCUUGACUGAGUGUCAUGAGGGUCCAAAGCGUUUACUUUGAAUAAAUGUGUGUUCAAAGCAGGCCGGUCACCUGAAUACUUCAGCUAGGAAUAAUGGAAUAGGACUCCGGUUCUGUUUUGUUGGUUUUUGGAACUGGGGCCAUGAUUAAGAGGGACAGCUGGGGGCAUUCGUAUUGUGCCGCUACAGGUGAAAUUCUUGGACCGGCACAAGACGAGCCAAAGCAAAAGCAUUACCCAAGAAUGGUUUUAUUAAUAAAGAAGGAAAGUGUAAGGUUCGAAGACGAUCCAAUAUACCGUCGUAGUUCCGACCAUAAACUAUGCCGACGAGCGAUCUGGUGGCGUUAUUUCCAUGACCCGCCGAGCAGCUUCCGGAAAACCAAAAUCUUUGGGUUGCGGGGAGAGUAUGGUUGCAAAGCUGAAAUUUAAAAGAAUUGACGGAAGGGCACCACCAGGAGUGGAGCCUGUGCCUUAAUUUGACUCAACACCGGAAAGCUCACCUGGGCCGUUCUUAGUUGGUGGAGCGAUUUGUCUGGUUAACUCCGAUAACGAAUGAGACUCCUCCAUGCUAACUACUUACGCGACCCCACCAGCAGUUGGUGUUAAAGUUCUUAGUGGGAAAAGUGUUCAGCCACAACGAGAUCGAGCAAUAGCAGGUCUGGGAUGCCCUUAGAUGUCCGGGGCUGCACGUGCACUACACUGAAUGGAUCAGCGUGUGUCUACCCUUCGCCGACAGGUGUGGCUAACCCGCUGAAUGUUGUUUGUGCUAGGGAUUGGGGAUUGCAAUUAUUUCCCAUGAACGAGGAAUUCCCAGUAAGUGUGGGUCAUAAACUUGCGUUGACUAAGUACCUGCCAUUUGUACACACCACCCGUCGCUACUACCGAUUGGAUGGUUUAGUGAGGUCCUCGGAUCGGCCCAGCCGGAGCGGAGAGAAGACUAUCAAACUUGACUAUCUAGAGGAAGAAAAAGUCGUACGGGUGAUUCCAAGAUAGCCGCCUGCUGAAG
rnacentral:rRNA from 1 species